rnacentral:rRNA from 1 species
AGAUUGAACGCUGGCGGCAUGCCUUACACAUGCAAGUCGAACGACAGCACGGGGGCAACCCUGGUGGCGAGUGGCGAACGGGUGAGUAACAUAUCGGAACGUGCCCUGGAGUGGGGGAUAACUAGUCGAAAGAUUAGCUAAUACCGCAUACGAUCUACGGAUGAAAGUGGGGGAUCGCAAGACCUCAUGCUCGUGGAGCGGCCGAUAUCUGAUUAGCUAGUUGGUGGGGUAAAGGCCUACCAAGGCAUCGAUCAGUAGCUGGUCUGAGAGGACGACCAGCCACACUGGGACUGAGACACGGCCCAGACUCCUACGGGAGGCAGCAGUGGGGAAUUUUGGACAAUGGGGGCAACCCUGAUCCAGCAAUGCGCGUGAGUGGAAGAGCCUCGGUUGUAAGCUCUUUGUCAGG